GAAGGGGGCUAGCGUUGCUCGGAAUCACUGGGCGUAAAGGGCGCGUAGGCGGCUGAUUUAGUCGAGGGUGAAAGCCUGUGGCUCAACCACAGAAUUGCCUUCGAUACUGGUUGGCUUGAGACCGGAAGAGGACAGCGGAACUGCGAGUGUAGAGGUGAAAUUCGUAGAUAUUCGCAAGAACACCAGUGGCGAAGGCGGCUGUCCGGUCCGGUUCUGACGCUGAGGCGCGAAAGCGUGGGGGAGCAAACAGGAUUAGAUACCCUGGUAGUCCACGCUGUAAACGAUGAAUGCUAGCCGUUGGUCUGCAUGCAGGUCAGUGGCGCCGCUAACGCAUUAAGCAUUCCGCCUGGGGAGUACGGUCGCAAGAUUA
rnacentral:rRNA from 1 species